GACGAACGCUGGCGGCGUGCCUAAUACAUGCAAGUUGAGCGCUGAAGGUUGGUACUUGUACCAACUGGAUGAGCAGCGAACGGGUGAGUAACGCGUGGGGAAUCUGCCUUUGAGCGGGGGACAACAUUUGGAAACGAAUGCUAAUACCGCAUAAAAACUUUAAACACAAGUUUUAAGUUUGAAAGAUGCAAUUGCAUCACUCAAAGAUGAUCCCGCGUUGUAUUAGCUAGUUGGUGAGGUAAAGGCCCACCAAGGCGAUGAUACAUAGCCGACCUGAGAGGGUGGUCGGCCACAUUGGGACUGAGACACGGCCCAAACUCCUACGGGAGGCAGCAGUAGGGAAUCUUCGGCAAUGGACGAAAGUCUGACCGAGCAACGCCGCGUGAGUGAAGAAGGUUUUCGGAUCGUAAAACUCUGUUGGUAGAGAAGAACGUUGGUGAGAGUGGAAAGCUCAUCAAGUGACGGUAACUACACAGAAAGGGACGGCUAACUACGUG
rnacentral:rRNA from 1 species